ACAAGCGGUGGAGCAUGUGGUUUAAUUCGAAGCAACGCGAAGAACCUUACCAGGUCUUGACAUCCCGAUGCUAUUUCUAGAGAUAGAAAGUUACUUCGGUACAUCGGUGACAGGUGGUGCAUGGUUGUCGUCAGCUCGUGUCGUGAGAUGUUGGGUUAAGUCCCGCAACGAACGCAACCCCUAUUGUUAGUUGCCAUCAUUCAGUUGGGCACUCUAGCGAGACUGCCGGUAAUAAACCGGAGGAAGGUGGGGAUGACGUCAAAUCAUCAUGCCCCUUAUGACCUGGGCUACACACGUGCUACAAUGGUUGGUACAACGAGUUGCGAGUCGGUGACGGCGAGCUAAUCUCUUAAAGCCAAUCUCAGUUCGGAUUGUAGGCUGCAACUCGCCUACAUGAAGUCGGAAUCGCUAGUAAUCGCGGAUCAGCACGCCGCGGUGAAUACGUUCCCGGGCCUU
rnacentral:rRNA from 1 species